rnacentral:rRNA from 1 species
GAAAAAUUAGAGUGUUUAAAGCAAGCUAACGCUUGAAUACAUUAGCAUGGAAUAAUGAAAUAGGACGUUCGAUCCUAUUUUGUUGGUUUCUAGGAUUGACGUAAUGAUUAAUAGGGAUAUUGGGGGCAUUAGUAUUCAAUUGUCAGAGGUGAAAUUCUUGGAUUUAUUGAAGACUAACUACUGCGAAAGCAUUUGCCAAGGAUGUUUUCAUUAAUCAAGAACGAAAGUUAGGGGAUCGAAGACGAUCAGAUACCGUCGUAGUCUUAACCAUAAACUAUGCCGACUAGGGAUCGGAUGAUGUUAAUUUUUAAUGACUCAUUCGGCGCCUUACG